rnacentral:rRNA from 1 species
CCUACGGGAGGCAGCAGUGAGGAAUAUUGGUCAAUGGACGAGAGUCUGAACCAGCCAAGUAGCGUGAAGGAUGACUGCCCUAUGGGUUGUAAACUUCUUUUAUAUGGGAAUAAAAUGUUCCACGUGUGGGAUUUUGUAUGUACCAUAUGAAUAAGGAUCGGCUAACUCCGUGCCAGCAGCCGCGGUAAUACGGAGGAUCCGAGCGUUAUCCGGAUUUAUUGGGUUUAAAGGGAGCGUAGGUGGAUUGUUAAGUCAGUUGUGAAAGUUUGCGGCUCAACCGUAAAAUUGCAGUUGAAACUGGCAGUCUUGAGGACAGUAGAGGUGGGCGGAAUUCGUGGUGUAGCGGUGAAAUGCUUAGAUAUCGCGAAGAACUCCGAUUGCGAAGGCAGUUCACUGGACUGCAACUGACACUGAGGCUCGAAAGUGUGGGUAUCAAACAGGAUUAGAUACCCCAGUAGUC